CACGUAGGCACCAAGCGUUGUCCGGAUUUAUUGGGCGUAAAGAGCUCGUAGGCGGUUCGGUAAGUCGGGUGUGAAAACUUUGGGCUUAACCCAAAGCGUGCACUCGAUACUGCCAUGACUAGAGUUCGGUAGGGGAGUGGGGAAUUCCUAGUGUAGCGGUGAAAUGCGCAGAUAUUAGGAGGAACACCGGUGGCGAAGGCGGUUCUCUGGGCAUUACCUGACGCUGAGGAGCGAAAGCAUGGGGAGCGAACAGG
rnacentral:rRNA from 1 species